rnacentral:rRNA from 1 species
GACGAACGCUGGCGGCGUGCUUAACACAUGCAAGUCGAACGGGCCUUGUCCCCUUUUUUUUUGGGGGUGGGGUUAGUGGCGAACGGGUGAGUAACACGUGAGUAACCUGCCCCUCACUUCUGGAUAACCGCUUGAAAGGGUGGCGAAUACGGGGUGUUCUGGCCUGCUCGCAUGGGUGGGUUUGGAAAGAUUCGACCGGUUUUGGUGGUUUUGGUGGGGGAUGGGCUCGCGGCCUAUCAGCGUGUUGGUGGGGUGAUGGCCUGCCAAGGCUUUGACGGGGGGCCGGCCUGCGCGGGUGGGCGGUCACCCUGGGACUGAGACACGGCCCAGACUCCUACGGGAGGCAGCAGUGGGGAAUAUUGCACAAUGGGCGCAAGCCUGAUGCAGCGACGCCGCGUGAGGGAUGGAGGCCUUCGGGUUGUGAACCUCUUUCGCCAGUGAAGAAGGUCCUGCUCUUUGUGGUGGGGUUGACGGUAGCUGGGUUAAUGAAGCGCCGGCUAACUACGUG